GGGAGGGAGAGAGAGGGAGAGGGAGGGGGAGAGAGAGAGACCAACUCAGAAGGGGAUGUGUUGACACGAGACAGACUGGUCCUGACACUACAUGUUUCCAGUCCGAGAUGUGAGGAGUUUGUUUAUGGUCUGCGAGGGAGGAAUGAGGAAGGAGUCAGAGCGUCAUUCCCAGCGGGGGAUGUGCUUAGGAAACGAUCACAUGAUCACGUGCAACCCUGAUCCGUGGCCGAGGCGGGCAUGGGGGUGUCUGGUGACAUCUGAAACCCAGUUGGUUUGUUUCCAUUAUUGAACGACGAGGGACGGCCGAGGGAAGGAGAUCCUCCCCACGUCGGCCAUCAGCGAGAGACGCCAAUUCCCUUUUUUUUUUAAAUGUAUGUUUUGCUUUCUAUUUCGGUCGAGGUUGGUUUAAAGCAAUACGCUGCAGUGCCAUGCUCUCACCGAGCCCAGGGAGGUUCCUUCUAGAACCUCGCUCUGUUUAAAGGCCUGUGGGGAAGAGAGGGAGGACCUGUCACCAUGGCGAUACGCUGGAUAGGUGACUGUGUUCCCAAGGCCGCCCCCCCCUAAUUCAUAUCCAUGUCUGAAGAUAUUUAUUGCUUGUUUGUUUUUAUUUUUGUGGAUCCCUUUUGUAUUUAUUCUCUUUUCUCAGUCUCUUUGCUUCCCUUGUUUGUAGUAUUGAUGUUGUUUCGGUUCCCACAUUUCACUGUUAUCAGAAUGGUUUCGUAUUGGUAUUUGCACAAAGAAUCCCAAGUCAACUAGUCCUACAGUUUGCAUGCCUUCUGCAAAAGCCAAACGCAAUAUGGACGGUUAUAAUUAUUGUAAUAGUUAAACUAAAACUAUGUUAUUUUCGGAUGCUCCGAGUACAGUAUGUCAGUUUUUAUUCUGACAUUGAAUGAAUGCCAUUCGUUUUUUAUCAAUAUCUUUAAGGAUUUAUAAAGUUUAAUCUAGCCCCUUUAUUUUAAGUAUUCGUAUUGCUGCCACUGUCGACGAAUUAAAGUCCUCCUUGGCCCGAGAUGACCCAACGGCUCCCUGGUGUGCAUCUCUCGAUCCGCUCCUUCAUCCUGAACACCGGAGCCGCUCACUG
ensembl:lncRNA